UGGGGAAUAUUGGACAAUGGGCGAAAGCCUGAUCCAGCCAUGCCGCGUGUGUGAAGAAGGUCUUCGGAUUGUAAAGCACUUUACGUUGGGAGGAAGGGCAGUAAGUUAAUACCUUGCUGUUUUGACGUUACCGACAGAAUAAGCACCGGCUAACUCUGUGCCAGCAGCCGCGGUAAUACAGAGGGUGCAAGCGUUAAUCGGAAUUACUGGGCGUAAAGCGCGCGUAGGUGGUUUGUUAAGUUGGAUGUGAAAGCCCCGGGCUCAACCUGGGAACUGCAUCCAAAACUGGCAAGCUAGAGUACGGUAGAGGGUGGUGGAAUUUCCUGUGUAGCGGUGAAAUGCGUAGAUAUAGGAAGGAACACCAGUGGCGAAGGCGACCACCUGGACUGAUACUGACACUGAGGUGCGAAAGCGUGGGGAGCAAACA
rnacentral:rRNA from 1 species